AACGAACGCUGGCGGCGUGUUUAAGACAUGCAAGUCGCACGGAGUCAUUUGUGCAGCAAUACUUGAAUGGCUCAGUGGCGCACGGGUGAGUAACACGUGAAUGACAUGCCCCGCAGAGGGGGAUAGCCCAGGGAAACUUGGAUUAAUACCCCAUGGCAUCGCAGGAUUAAAGGGUGGCUCAAGCCGCCGCUGCGGGAUUGGUUCGCGUUCUAUCAGCUUGUUGGAGGGGUAACGGCCAACCAAGGCUAAGAGCGGAUACCUGGUCUGAGAGGACGAUCAGGCACACUGGAACGGAGACACGGUCCAGACACCUACGGGUGGCAGCAGUCGAGAAUAAUUCACAAUGGGGGCAACCCUGAUGGUGCAACGCCGCGUGGAGGAUGAAGGUCUUCGGAUUGUAAACUCCUGUCAUCCGGGAGCAAGACCUGACGGUGAAUAGCCGGCAGGGUUGAUAGUACCGGAAGAGGAAGGGACGGCUAACUUCGUGCCAGCCGCCGCGGUAAAAC
rnacentral:rRNA from 1 species